GACGAACCGUGCGAACGUUAUUCGGAAUCACUGGGCUUAAAGGGCGCGUAGGCGGGCCACCAAGUCAGGGGUGAAAUCCCACGGCUCAACCGUGGAAGUGCCUUUGAUACUGGUGGCCUCGAGGGAGGCAGGGGCGUGCGGAACUUUGGGUGGAGCGGUGAAAUGCGUAGAUAUCCAAAGGAACACCGGUGGCGAAAGCGGCGCGCUGGACCUCUUCUGACGCUGAGGCGCGAAAGCCAGGGGAGCAAACGGG
rnacentral:rRNA from 1 species